rnacentral:rRNA from 1 species
AGAUUGAACGCUGGCGGCAGGCCCAACACAUGCAAGUCGAGCGGUAGAGAGGUGCUUGCACCUCUUGAGAGCGGCGGACGGGUGAGUAAAGCCUAGGAAUCUGCCUGGUAGUGGGGGAUAACGCUCGGAAACGGACGCUAAUACCGCAUACGUCCUACGGGAGAAAGCAGGGGACCUUCGGGCCUUGCGCUAUCAGAUGAGCCUAGGUCGGAUUAGCUAGUUGGUGAGGUAAUGGCUCACCAAAGGCGACGAUCCGUAACUGGUCUGAGAGGAUGAUCAGUUCACACUGGAACUGG